GGGGGAUAAUCGGGAGAAAUCCCGUCUAAUACCGCGUAAUGCCGCGGGGCUGCAUGGCCCUGCGGCCAAAGGGAGCGAUUCCGGCAACGGAUGGGCAUGCGUGACAUUAGCUAGUUGGCGGGGCAACGGCCCACCAAGGCGACGAUGUCUAGGGGUUCUGAGAGGAAGGUCCCCCACACUGGUACUGAGACACGGACCAGACUCCUACGGGAGGCAGCAGUGAGGAAUAUUGGUCAAUGGGCGCGAGCCUGAACCAGCCAAGUCGCGUGAGGGAUGACGGCCCUACGGGUUGUAAACCUCUUUUGUCGGGGAGCAAAUUCCGCCACGUGUGGCGGAGUCGAGAGUACCCGAAGAAAAAGCAUCGGCUAACUCCGUGCCAGCAGCCGCGGUAAUACGGAGGAUGCGAGCGUUAUCCGGAUUUAUUGGGUUUAAAGGGUGCGUAGGCGGACUGUCAAGUCAGCGGUAAAAUACGGGGGCUCAACCUCCGCCCGCCGUUGAAACUGACGGUCUUGAGUGGGCGAGAAGUAUGCGGAAUGCGUGGUGUAGCGGUGAAAUGCAUAGAUAUCACGCAGAACUCCGAUUGCGAAGGCAGCAUACCGGCGCCCGACUGACGCUGAAGCACGAAAGCGUGGGUAUCGAACAGGAUUAGAUACCCUGGUGGUCCACGCAGUAAAC
rnacentral:rRNA from 1 species